rnacentral:rRNA from 1 species
UGCAGUCGAACGGUGAACACGGAGCUUGCUCUGUGGGAUCAGUGGCGAACGGGUGAGUAACACGUGAGCAACCUGCCCCUGACUCUGGGAUAAGCGCUGGAAACGGCGUCUAAUACUGGAUACGAGUAGCGACCGCAUGGUCAGUUACUGGAAAGAUUUAUUGGUUGGGGAUGGGCUCGCGGCCUAUCAGCUUGUUGGUGAGGUAAUGGCUCACCAAGGCGUCGACGGGUAGCCGGCCUGAGAGGGUGACCGGCCACACUGGGACUGAGACACGGCCCAGACUCCUACGGGAGGCAGCAGUGGGGAAUAUUGCACAAUGGGCGCAAGCCUGAUGCAGCAACGCCGCGUGAGGGAUGACGGCCUUCGGGUUGUAAACCUCUUUUAGCAGGGAAGAAGCGAAAGUGACGGUACCUGCAGAAAAAGCGCCGGCUAACUACGUGCCAGCAGCCGCGGUAAUACGUAGGGCGCAAGCGUUAUCCGGAAUUAUUGGGCGUAAAGAGCUCGUAGGCGGUUUGUCGCGUCUGCUGUGAAAUCCGGAGGCUCAACCUCCGGCCUGCAGUGGGUACGGGCAGACUAGAGUGCGGUAGGGGAGAUUGGAAUUCCUGGUGUAGCGGUGGAAUGCGCAGAUAUCAGGAGGAACACCGAUGGCGAAGGCAGAUCUCUGGGCCGUAACUGACGCUGAGGAGCGAAAGGGUGGGGAGCAAACAGGCUUAGAUACCCUGGUAGUCCACCCCGUAAACGUUGGGAACUAGUUGUGGGGUCCAUUCCACGGAUUCCGUGACGCAGCUAACGCAUUAAGUUCCCCGCCUGGGGAGUACGGCCGCAAGGCUAAAACUCAAAGGAAUUGACGGGGACCCGCACAAGCGGCGGAGCAUGCGGAUUAAUUCGAUGCAACGCGAAGAACCUUACCAAGGCUUGACAUAUACGAGAACGGGCCAGAAAUGGUCAACUCUUUGGACACUCGUAAACAGGUGGUGCAUGGUUGUCGUCAGCUCGUGUCGUGAGAUGUUGGGUUAAGUCC